rnacentral:rRNA from 1 species
UACGUAGGGUGCGAGCGUUGUCCGGAAUUAUUGGGCGUAAAGAGCUCGUAGGCGGUGUGUCGCGUCGGCCGUGAAAACCUGGGGCUUAACUCUGGGCGUGCGGUCGAUACGGGCAUCACUGGAGUUCGGCAGGGGAGACUGGAAUUCCUGGUGUAGCGGUGAAAUGCGUAGAUAUCGAGAGGAACACCUGCGGCGAAGGCGGGUUGCUGGGCUGACACUGACGCUGAGGCGCGAAAGCUAGGGGAGCGAACGGG